rnacentral:tRNA from 15 species
GGAGGAAUACCCAAGUUCGGCUGAAGGGAUCGGUCUUGAAAACCGACAGGAGCUUAACGGCUCGCGGGGGUUCGAAUCCCUCUUCCUCCGCCA